rnacentral:rRNA from 1 species
AGUUGUAAUUUGCAGAAGGUGUUUCGGACAACAACACAAAUCAAGUUCCAUGGAAUUGGACGUCGCAGAGGGUGAUAAUCCCGUUUUUUUGUGCUCUGUCCGUGUGAAACCCUUUCGACGAGUCGAGUUGUUUGGGAAUGCAGCUCUAAAUGGGUGGUAAAUUUCAUCUAAAGCUAAAUAUAAGCCAGAGACCGAUAGCGCACAAGUAGAGUGAUCGAAAGAUGAAAAGCACUUUGAAAAGAGAGUCAAACAGCACGUGAAAUUGUUGAAAUGGAAGCGCUCGCAGCCAGACUUGGACCUUAAAUUCCGCUCCUUUACGAAGGAGUCUAUUUUUUCUGGCCCGGGCCAACAUCGGUUUUGAUGGUCGGACAAAAGUUCGUGGCACGUAGCUUGCUCGCAAGUGUUAUAGCCCGAACAAUACGACCAACCAAGACCGAGGAACGCGUCUUUGACAAAGAUGUUGGCGUAAUGGCUGCCAGCGACCCGUCUUGAAACACGGACCAAGGAGUGGAUCUAUUGUGCGAGAAUUCGGGCGUAAAACCCUUAUUCGUAAUGAAAGUGAACGUUGGUGGGAAUUUUUUUAUGCACCAUCGACCGAUCCGAGUUCGCGAGGAUUUGAGUAUGAGUACAAUGGAUCCGACCCGAAAGAAGGUGAACUAUUCCCGACUAGGGUGAAGCCAGAGGAAACUCUGGUGGAGGCUCGCAGCGGUUCUGACGUGCAAAUCGAUCGUCAAAGCUGGGAAUAGGGGCGAAAGACUAAUCGAACCUUCUAGUAGCUGGUUCCUGUCGAAGUUUCCCUCAGGAUAGCAGUAAUGAAAACACAGUCUCAUGAGGUAGAGCAACGAUUAGAGGAAUCGGGGCCGAAACGGCCUCGACCUAUUCUCGAACUCCGAAUAUGUGAGAAGUCCUUGUUACUUAGUUGAACGUGGAC